UGAGAAUGACCACAAUAGUAGUAAUAUAAUUUUUCCAAGAACACAGAUUCCAAAUGACAUGUACGGCUGCACCCAUCCAAAGUUCUUAAAAGCAUAAAGAAAAUAUUUGGAAAAUCCUACCCGAUUCAAAUUGCCACACAAGAAAUCAUCAUCAGUAGAUAGAAUUAAAUCGUGCACAAUACCAGAUAACUCAUACCAUCACAUCGUCACUUGAACACUUGCUCAAAAGAAGUCUAAACAAAAUACACCAAAGCUCAUUUCCCAAAUUUCAGAACUUCAAUUAUUAUUGAUCUAUGUAGAAAAAAUAUAAUCAAACUCAAUUCUAUAUUACAUUAAAAUGACAAACAUAGCAUUGUAAUGGUUAUAAUAUGACCAUAUAAUUUUAUUUACAAAAAUAAUCCAUUUCUAGUUAUUUUCUCUCUCUUCCCUCCUUUCUCUCCUAGUUCUAGAUCUAGAUGACAAGCUAAUGAAGCUAGAAAUGAUGUAUAGAAGUUGAAAAAGAAGGUUGGAAUGGCACAAACUCACCUUAUAUAGCCACCUCCUCCAAAGAAAUCAAG
rnacentral:lncRNA from 1 species